UGGGGAAUAUUGCACAAUGGGCGAAAGCCUGAUGCAGCAACGCCGCGUGAGUGAUGAAGGUCUUCGGAUUGUAAAGCUCUGUCUUUUGGGACGAUAAUGACGGUACCAAAGGAGGAAGCCACGGCUAACUGCGUGCCAGCAGCCGCGGUAAUACGUAGGUGGCGAGCGUUGUCCGGAUUUACUGGGCGUAAAGGGUGCGUAGGCGGAUGUUUAAGUGAGAUGUGAAAUACCCGGGCUUAACUUGGGUGCUGCAUUUCAAACUGGAUAUCUAGAGUGCAGGAGAGGAGAAUGGAAUUCCUAGUGUAGCGGUGAAAUGCGUAGAGAUUAGGAAGAACACCAGUGGCGAAGGCGAUUCUCUGGACUGUAACUGACGCUGAGGCACGAAAGCGUGGGUAGCAAACAGGAUUAGAUACCCUGGUAGUCCACGCCGUAAAACGAUGAGUACUAGGUGUAGGAGGUAUCGACCCCUUCUGUGCCGCAGUAAACACAUUAAGUACUCCGCCUGGGAAGUACGAUCGCAAGAUUAAAAC
rnacentral:rRNA from 1 species